CCCGACAUACACCUGUGGGGCAAGGGGCCUUGUUCUCACUACCCCUGCUCAGGGCUGAGGGCCUGAGCCAUGCAGUAUUAUAUAAAGGGUUGACUCGGGGCCCUCACUCUGGGGCUGGGGCCCAGACUACUCCAGCAUGCAAGUUCCAGAGCCAGCCUCUUGCUAAGGGCCAGUCCCUGCUUCUCCCCACGGGCUAGACCCACCCCAGAGCAGCUCAGAUUUGGUGCCUGCUUCUCUUCUUGCCCCCUAGUCCUAGCUGUUCCUGGCAGAGCUUCUGUCUUGAGCUUGGCCAUGGAUGUGGACACAGCCUGGCACAUACCCUGAGUGCGGUCUAAAGGAUCAAGGGACACAAAGCCUCACCCAGAGAGUGCCAAGCAAAGCUGAUACUUCUAUUCAUACGCAUGCAGUGCUCAGCCUGGCCUCCUUCUUCCCACCAAGAAUGAAGUGGAGCCAGCAGAGGGGUUGCCCUGCAAUGUGGUCUCUGCCAACCUGGGCCCAGGCCUAGCUGGAUAGGUGGUAGGAGAGAGGGCUGCUCAAGUAGGAAGGAGGUGAGCAUCAGGACCCUCCCCUCCCCUGGACCUGCCUUAGCCCUGUUUUGAUUCUGACCAUCCAGUGCUCUGGGGACCCUGGAAAAGGUCCUGGCUCCAAGGUCCACCUGACCAGCCAAGCCUGGCACAUCCAUCUCUGUGGUCCCAGGAUCUGGCCACAGGAGGGCUCCUGGACACGUAAUACAUGAAUAGAUGGAGUGACAUAAAGAAUUAAUCAGUGGGUGACUUAGGCAGUGAGAACUAGGAGCAGAAGAAAUGAAAGAGACCAGGUUGGGAGGGGGGAUGCUGGUAGGGCCAGGUUUAGGGGAGCCUUAAAUGCCAGGCUGAGAGGGGGUGUUUGUCAGGCUCCCCCACACCCAGCUUCUGCCCUGGCCCUGGGACAAUUUCCGUCUUCCAGAGGGGCCAGUAGGGAUCCUGGCAGAUGUGGCCCUGAUCACCUGAUCCCCUCUCAGAGAGACAGAGACCCCAGGGCCCAUCCCCCAGAGCCUGGCUCACCUGGGCCCUCGCAGGGCCUGCCUCACCGGGGCCCCGCAGACCUAACUGCUUCUGCUUCAUGGUCUGUGGGUUUUCCCAGUCGUCCAAUUAGUGCUAAUUGGAAGCAGGAAGUGUGUGCAUGUGUGGGGUGGGCCUGGAACUCCGAUGUCCUUGUCAGAACUUCGAAGCCCUGUGCUUCCUGGGACAGGCUCUUCCCUAGAGCUUUGUGGUCUCCCGCAGGGCUGGGUAGGGUUGUUGGGAGCUCCCCGAGCAUUGGGUAUACUGGCUCUGUGCACAACGGGGCCUCUGCUCUCCAGAGGGCUCAGGCUCUCACCGGCCACCUCUUACCCCAGGUGCCAGUUGCCCCCAGGGCAAGGCAAGCUCAUCCUUUUCACUGCCAAAUCCUCUUCGCCCGGCACAGAGCUGCGGCUCUUCACAGUUUCACUCUAACAACGAAGGGAAUGAUGGGCUCAGGGCCUGGAAGAGAGGCGCAGAGGGGGCCUCCUGAACCCCUCACUGACCCUUGGUCCAGCCUCAGCCCGUGGCUCCAUAAAGGCAAGGAAAGGCCUGCUUUAUCUGACUGGCCACACACUUGUGCUUCCCUUGGGGGACAAAGGGUGCAGAGGCGCUUCCACAGAGGCGGGACUUCCGCUUACUUUCCCUCCUCCCCGUUUCCCCGCCCCCUCCACUUGCGGCACAGGUGGGGGUGUCCAGAGGCAAAGCCCCUUUUGUGUCAAGCCCCAGCCCAGGUUCUCUCCUCACCCACAGAUGCUGGUGCGCAGUCUGACGGCAGAGGCUGUAACGGGGGAAGCAUGGGAUGUGGGCACAUGGGGGAAGGCCCCGGAACCCAGCCUGGGCAGAGGCCGGUGCCCCACCAGGCUCUCUCUCUGCAGUGUUAUGUCAAUCAUUGCCCACAGGUGCCCUCGACCUGGACACCGUCAGGCCUCCUUCGCGGUGGGCUGAAACCCUGUGGCACAGCCCAGGACCACCCAGCCCCACGGGCUGGGGGCUCACAUCUGGAAGCAGGGCCCCCCAGGACUCAAAGGUGCUCGGAGAUGAAGAUUGCUGGGUGUCAGCUCAUGGGGCCAGCCUCGGCUUCACCCCCAGGAAAUGCCUGCUUGUUGCUGUGCGGCAGGCACUAGAGCAGGCAGAGAGGGCGGUGGGCUCCUCUGAGGUCGCGGGCGGAGCCCUGUGAGGAGAGACCUGGCCGCCGGCAGCCACUAGAGGGCAGGACCCUCCUGUGUGUUUCCUCCAAAGGGUUGUUGAGCAGAUGAGCGGGACUGACAGGAAACAAUGGAGCAGCCGCCCCAGGGUGCAGUCACCACAAGCCUGCUAGAAGGGCUCAGCGGAGGCUGCGAUGCGUCCGAAAGUCCACUGGACCCUAGACCUUAAAUGGCCUCCCUGAGCCUUUAGGCUUUUACUUCCUGGGAGCCCAGCCCUGAGCCAACAGAGACAGUGCCUGGCUCCUACAUUGGCAGAGAGUGACAAGUCAGUGUCCCCUUCUUACAACAUCAGUGGUAGAGGAGCAAUUAGGAGAGCAGGUCCUCCAGCUUCUUCCAGGUGCAGUGUGGAAACAGAGGCAGAGAAGAACUCACCUGACCGCACCUACGAGGUGGGUAGGGACAGAUACUUCUGAGAGUGAACCAUCAGCCAAGCACGCCCAGCAGCCCUGGGGGGUCAGUGCAUGUUGUCGGGUGCUACUUUUGCAGUUGGGGAAACUGAGGGUCAAGAGAGGCUGUCAUUUGACUGAAGUCCUACAGCAAGGGUGGACCAGGGUUCCCGCCCGGGCAGGAUGAUGCUGAGCCUGCAUGCAGGCUCCCACGCAGCCUUAUCACAGCCUCAUGUAGAGACGACCUCCUGUGACCUCGCUGACAUGAGUGUGAGUGUGUGGGGACCCUGGCUGCCGCAGCAGGAAUGAGGCAGCCUCUCUGCAUCCUGACACUCCCAGGCAGAGGCCUGUCCUUCAUCUGGACCUACCAACAGUGACGCCAGGAGCAGCUGCCUCUAGGACACGUGUUCCCCUGGGCCAGAGGAACUAUGUGAGGAACCCAUGGUGCAUGCCAUGACAACCCUCCUUUAGGGCCUCUUGAGGCCACAGUGGUGCUAAACCCAGGAAGUGGGUGCCAAUUCAGGGGACCAUUGGCAGCCCUGCUGCCCCUCACUGGGCUGUGCCUGCAGUCACGGGAGGCAAGGACCUGCUUUUGAGUCUUUGGCUUCACCUUGUUCUUACAGCCAGACUUGGGGCUCUCUACCUGGGGCUGGGGAUAGGUAGUUCUCAGCCUGGGCAGCCCCAGGAGCUGCUAAGUGUCAUAUCCCUGGGGAAGGCCUGAGCAGUUUGAGGCUGAUUUUGGUUGUCCCAAUACUGCUGGGAACCACUGGGGAAUGAGAGUGUCUUGGGGACCUAUUCCUGGAGCCUGAGUCUAAGCUGAGCUGUGGCUCAUAAGACUAAAUUGCAUGGAGACCCAACAUGGCUGCUGGGCCCGUCAAGGGCUGGUGUCUGCUCUGGGAGGUAGCCCCAUGGCUGGAUCUUUCUCUAUGUCCCAGGUCGGCCCCUGUGACCUGGGGCCAGUGUGCUGAAACCUGUGAGGAUCAGGCAUAGCGAGGAGGGUGGCCCCAUAGGUAGGCCCAUACAAGGGACUUGGGCAGAGUCCUGUCCUCCAGCUAAGUAUCUGGGGCACCAACCUCACAGACUGCAGAGUUCACUCUCAUUAGCGCAGGGGUCCUCUCAACAGCUUCAGUGACCAUAGGGAUCGGUGUACCCAUUUCACAGAUGGGGACACGCCGGCUCAGGUCUUACCACCCUUUGCCAACAGCUUCUUCACUGGUCUCCUUAGCUUCCGUUUUCCCUUUUCCUUCCUUGUUUUAAGCUUUCAAAAAAAAUUUUUAGGCUGGGUGUAGUGUCUCCUGCCUGUAAUCCCAGCACUUUGGGUGGAUUGCUUGAGCCUAGGGGUUUGAGACCAGCCUGGGCAACUUAGUGAGACCCCACCUCUACAAAAAAUUCCAGAAUUUUCUUUCUUUACUAAUUUAAACAUUUUGGCUGGGCUUGGUGGCUCAUGCCUGUAAUCCCAGCACUUUGGGAGGCCAAAGUGGGCGGAUCAUCUGAAUCAGGAGUUCUAGACCAGCCUGGCCAACAUGGUGAAACCCUGUCUCUACUAAAAAUACAAAUUAGCCAGGCGUGGUGGCAUGUGCCUGUAAUCCCAGCUCCUUGGAAGGCUGAGCCGGGCUGGUCUUGAAUUCCUAACCUCAGGUGAUCUGCCCACCUCAGCCUCCCAAAGUGCUGGGAUUACAGGUGUGAGCCACCGCACCUGGCCAAAAAAAAACUUUUAAAAUUAUUUAGUGGCUUAUUAUAUAAGAAAUACAUGAAUGCAUUUUUACUUUAAAAACAUAAUACACCCAGCAGUUUGGGAGGCUGAGGCAGGUGGAUCACCUGAGGUCAGGAGUUCGAGACCAGCCUGGCCAACAUGGUGGAACCUUGUCUCUAACUAAAAAUACAAAAAUUAGCUGGGUGUGGUGGCGGAUGCCUGUAAUCCCAGCUACUCGGGAAGCUGAGGCAGGAGAAUUGCUUGAACUCGGGAGGCGGAGGUUGCGAUAAGCUGAGAUCGUGCCACUGCACUUCAGCCUGGGCGACAGAGUGAGACUCCGUCUCAAAAAAAAAAAAAAAAAAAAAAAAAACCAUAAUACAGGGCUGGUCAUGGUGGCUCACACUUGUAAUCCCAGCAUACUUCUGGGCUCAGGCAAUCCUCCCACCUUGACCUCCCAAAGUGCUGGGAUUACAGGCGUCAGCCACCGCACCCAGCCUGUUUUGAUUUUUUUCAAGAGACGAGGUCUCACUAUGUUGUCCACACUGGUCUUGAACUCCUGGGCUCAAGCUAUCCUCCUGCUUGUGCUUCCCAGAGUUUUAGAUUUUCAGGCAUGAGCUAUCACACCCAGACUUAUUUUCUCCUUUAUCCCCAACCACUGCAGUUAGGUUUGGGUUGGGAUGGGGGCAGGUGGGAGAUGGGGGAAGCCAACCUCCAAGCAGGGCAGGAAACAUCUAGCCAGCCCCAUCUUCCUGAAUCCACAGCUAGGGUGCCUCCCAGAGAGCCUGCUCUGCUGCAGGGCACAGUGGGGAGUAGUCUGUCUCCAUAGACACACAGCAUCCCAAAGCCAAACAUUUCCCUCCUCAGUCCUUGUAAUUGCCACUAGGCUGUGCAUAUAUGGGAAACCCACAGGGUUUACCUCAUCCCCUAUUGCUGGACAUCCAGGCUGUUUUCAGCGGUGCUGUUACAGCUCACUGCAGUGGCCGCCACAGUGCAGGUCUCUGCCAGGCUCUCUACGGGGAGGCGCUGGGAAGUAGAAUUGCUGAGCUGGGGGGCAGGGGCUAAGUCACCCUCCAAAAAGCCUGUGCCCACCCCCAGCAUAGGCACUUGUUGUACUAACACUUUGCUAAAACCUCUCUCUUCAAUGGGAAUUUGUCUCAUUGCUUAUGAGUUUGCUUAUCUUUUCUUACUGAGUGAUCAUUUUUAUUUCCUUUUUUUUCUUUUUCCCCCUCACCUCUCUGAAUUUUAUUUAUUUCCUUUUACCAUGAAGAAUCUGCUUAUAUCCUUUCCCCAUUUUUCCACUAUGGUUUUUAUCUUUUCCUUAUUCAUUUGUAGAUCUUUAUACAGAUGCUCUUCAACCUGCUGUGGAGUUUCAUCCCAAUAAACCCUUUACAAGUUAAAAAUACUGUAAAAUGAAAAUGUAUUUAAUAUGCCUAACCUACUGAACAUCAUAGCUUAGCCCAGCCUGCCUUAAACAUGCCCACAACACUGACAUUAGCCUACAGUUGGUCAAAGUCACCUAACACAGUCUGGGCACAGUGGCUCACACCUAUAAUCCCAGCACUUUGGGAGGCUGAGGAGGGCGGAGCACUUGAGGUCAGAAGUUCGAGACCAGUCUCGCCAACAUGGUGAAACCCCGUUUCUACUAAAAAUACAAAAAUUAGCCACGCGUAGUGGCACAUGCCUGUAGUCCCAGCUACUCAGGAAGCUGAGGCAGGAGAAUCGCAUGAACCUGGGAGGCGGAGGUUGCAAUGAGCUGAGAUUGUGCCAUUGCACUCCAGCCUGGGCAACAAAAGUGAAACUCCAUCUCAAAAACAAAAACAAACAACAAAAUGUCACCGAACACAAAGCCUGUUUUAUAAUAAAGUGUUGAAUAUCUCAUGUAAUUAUCAAAUAUUGUGCUCAAAGUGAAAACCAGAAUGGUCGUAUGGAUACUUGAAGUAUGAUUUCUACUAAAUGUGUAUGACUUUUGCACCAUUGUAAAGUAAAAAAAAAUCCCAAGUUGAGCCAUAUAAGUCAGGGACCAUCUGUACAUUCUGGAUUUAAAUCCUUUGUUGUAUUUUCUCGCUUCCCUUUGCCCCACCUGGAGAGGUUGACUCUAGAGGGAGUGCAGGGGACAGGGCCAGGACCAGGCUUUCUGCCUGGCUGCAGCUCUUGGAUGUUAUGUUGGAAAAUGUCUAACCCUGGCUAGGUGGAGACACAAUGGCCAGGUGACUUUUCUGAAAGCCUCUGUUCUGUCACCUGUAAAGUGGACAGAAUACUGCCUACCUUGCAGGGUUGUGGUGAGGAUUAAAGGAACCCACCCAUGGACAGGUCAUCUGAUGAGUGCCACACACAUGUGAGGUGGACAGCUGCUGGGCAGGAGGCACCGUGUCGAGUAGGUGCCCAAUAAACGGUGACUGUGGUCUCUGUGCCCAGUGAGUGUAUGUGGGUACCUUGGUGGGGGGGGUCUCUCCUGCAGAGCCAGUGCUCAGAAGUUUAGCAUGGAUGGGGGGCAGUCUGAGACAGGGCUGGUGCUUGGAGGAAGGGAGAAGUGGAUGGGCUGAGCUUAGGGAGAAGACACCACAAGGUUGGCUCAUAUUGGGUGCAGUUGUGAGGGUCUACUAAGGUCAAGCCCUGUCCCCUCCUGCAUCAGGAUCCCCAAAGGAAAGUGUUGGGCUGACUUCCUCCAGCCAGGUUGGCUACAGCUGACCCUCUGGUCCCACUCCUGCCAGGCAGUCCUGGGGCCUCAGAAAAGCCCUUUGGAGGUGACAUGUGGUCCAGCCCACUUGAGGGCAUGACUUGGCCUUGGCUGUAAUCUGCUGAAACUAAAUAGGAGGUAUAUUUAUGAGUUGCCAUAAAAGGCACUGACAUACUGGUGAUAAAAGCCACCAAAAUCGCCCUGCUGUAAACUGCCAUUUACAUGUUUAUGACCUUAUUCCCCAGCCAGUGGGUUAGAUAUUCCCAUUAUCACUGACCAGGAGGCUCAAUUCUCAGCCAGGGGCCUGCAGGGUGAGUUGAAAAAAGGAAGCACUAAUAUGCAGGCCCAGGGCCACUGCCUGCUCCUCCUUGCAGCUGCUCCCUCCCAAGAGACUCCUCCUAUCGAGCAUACCCUGGAGGCUUAUUCUCUUACUGAGGAGUAACUUACAUUCGGUACACUACAGCAAUCAUGAAUGCAUAAUACAGCUCAAUGAAUUUUACAUAGGUGCACACCUGUGUAACCGUGACCCCGAGCAAACUUCCUCACCCUAGGAGAUUCCCUUGUGCCCCUUCCCCGCCAAUGUCCCCUAGCCCAGAAGUAACCACCGUUCUCACCUCCAUCAUCAGAGAUCAGUUUUGCUGGCCUAGAAUUUCACCCAAAUGUCGUCAUACAUGUGUUUUCUUCUGUGUGUGGCCUCCUUUCAUCAAUACAAUGUUUUUUAUUUUUGUAUAUUUUUUGAGACAGGGUCUUGCUCUGUUCUCCUUCCGUAGUGCAGUGGGGCGCCAUCACGGCUCGCUGCAGCCUCCAACUCCCAGGCUCAAGUGAUUCUCCCACCUCAGCCUCCCAAGUUGUAGCUGGGACUACAGACAUGCUCCACCGUGCCCGGCUGAUUUUUUCUAUUUUUUUGUUUGUUUGUUUGUUUUUAGAGACAGGGUUUCACUAUGUUACCCAGGCUGGUCUCUAACUCCUAGGCUCAAGCGCUCCGCCCGCCUCGGCCUCCCAAAGUGCUGGGAUUACAGGCGUGAGCCACUGCGCCCAGCCAAUAUAAUGUUUUCCAGAUUCCUCCACGCUGCCCUGUGUAACAGUUGUUCUUUCUUUUUUAUCGUUGAGUAGUUGUCUCCAUUGUAUGGAUGGAUAGGCCACACUGGUUUAUUUAUUCUCCUAUUGAUGGAUAUUUGGGUUGUUUCCAGUUUUUGGCUACUAUGAAUAAAGAUGCUAUGAAUAAUCCUG
rnacentral:lncRNA from 1 species